UCAGGAUGAACGCUGGCGGCGUGCUAACACAUGCAAGUCGAACGAAGCAACUAUCACGAUCCCGUUCGGGGUGACGAUUGUUGACUGAGUGGCGGACGGGUGAGUAACGCGUGGGUAACCUGCCUUGUACAGGGGGACAACAGUUGGAAACGACUGCUAAUACCGCAUAAGCGCACAGUAUCGCAUGAUACAGUGUGAAAAGUUAUUUCGGUACAAGAUGGACCCGCGUCUGAUUAGCUAGUUGGUGAGGUAACGGCCCACCAAGGCGACGAUCAGUAGCCGACCUGAGAGGGUGACCGGCCACAUUGGGACUGAGACACGGCCCAAACUCCUACGGGAGGCAGCAGUGGGGAAUAUUGCACAAUGGGCGAAAGCCUGAUGCAAGCGACGCCGCGUGAGCGAAGAAGUAUUUCGGUAUGUAAAGCUCUAUCAGCAGGGAAGAUAAUGACGGUACCUGACUAAGAAGCACCGGCUAAAUACGUGCCAGCCGCCGC
rnacentral:rRNA from 1 species